GACGAACCGUCCAAACGUUAUUCGGAAUUACUGGGCUUAAAGGGUGCGUAGGCGGCGCGGAAAGUAGGGUGUGAAAUCCCUCGGCUCAACCGAGGAACUGCGCCCUAAACUACCGUGCUUGAGGGAGAUAGAGGUGAGCGGAACUUAGGGUGGAGCGGUGAAAUGCGUUGAUAUCCUAAGGAACACCGGUGGCGAAAGCGGCUACACUGGAUCUCUUCUGACGCUGAGGCACGAAAGCUAGGGUAGCGAACGGG
rnacentral:rRNA from 1 species